rnacentral:rRNA from 1 species
UACAGAGGCCUCGAGCGUUAGGCGGAAUCACUGGGCUUAAAGCGCGUGUAGGCGGAUCGUUAAGUGUCUUGUGAAAUCCCACGGCUCAACCGUGGAACUGCUGGGCAUACUGGCGAUCUUGGGCCACUCAGGGGGCGACCGGAACAAGCGGUGGAGCGGUGAAAUGCGUAGAUAUCGCUUGGAACGCCAAAGGUGAAGACAGGUCGCUGGGGGUGUGCCGACGC